UGAGGAAUCAAUCAGUCGGCCGGUGGUGAAUUAUUCCCGAAAAAGAGCGCGUCUUACCUCGUUGUCGCUACGAAAGAAAAGUGACGAAAGAAUGAUGCCUUGCUUGGUCCUGCCCGGAUAUGAGUUGUCAUCGUGCGAGGUCGACAUAACCAUGUCGACUUUGGUAACGCAACUUUCUGACUGAAUCUAGGGUAACAGUGUUACACUGUUACACUGAGUAAUGCAGUUAGCUUAUACCACACAUCUUCCCCCUUCCCAGAAAAAAAACAGAUAUAAAAAUCUUUGAUCACUAAGAACACUUUUAUAUGCGCAAGUUUUGGUCAUCGCACCUUUUCAUAUGUAAGGCGAGAUUUAUCAAGCAUCAAGUAUCAAGUAAUUUUAGUCAUGAGGGAGCACAAAUCCAUGCUCAGCAGCAGGGGUAGGUUUAUGACAUUUGGUAUUUGUUUUUGUUUCAUCCUCAACGAUGUAAACAGUUGAAGGAGGAAAAACUGCUGCUAAGUUACGCUGCAUAUUCUCAAGUUUUUUAUUGAUUCAAUCACUUAAUUUCUCAUCUUGAAGAUCCGCUUACCAUCCGGAAAACUAUGCAUAUGAAGGGAGCUGUUUUGCUGUCGGAUGUAAACAACCUGAUGCAAGUGUUGCGAGGUCAUUGAACUUAAAUUUCACAUCUGCAGUGGAGAUUGUCUGUGACCGACUACUAAAAGAGAGGAUGCUGUUCACUCAUUGCAAGGUAUCUACUGUAGUUCGAGGUCAAUCAAAUGCUCAUUCUCUGAAUUGAUCCGAAGGAUAAAGGAUAUGUUAUGAUCUGAGCUGAAGGCGCUGUUGAAUGAAAAACUGCAGGAUGGACUUCGUGAAAAAGUGCAUUUCAUUGCGGACAAGCUGGAGUUUCUGGUUUCUGGAGUUUCGGAUCAUGGUAUGCCUUUCACUACAUACACUAUAUUACAAAGAAAGAUCAAAUUGCUUAAGGCUUACAUACUUUAUUAAUUACUCUUCUGUUAUUUUCGACGCGAUGGGACUUGAAUUCACCUUUUAAUAAAGUGUGGCAUGUGAUCAUUCAUUUA
rnacentral:lncRNA from 1 species